UAAACAUUCCUACAUGUCUAAACUCUAAAAUAAGCUAAACAUUUCUACACCAGAUGUAAGUAUUCAUCUCUUUACAUUUGAACUCUUUCAGUUUCUAUUUUCCUUUAGCAGCUAACAUGUAUGAAAAUUUCUUCUCUGGGACCUGAUACACAAACAAGAAGAAUAGUGAAAGAAAAAUAAAUACAAUUUCCCACACAGGAACAUAUUGAAAUAGAAACCUAACAUUGCUGAUUUGUUGAACGCUGCAGCUGAUGUUUGUCUAUAGGAAUGACACCCCCGCUUCAUGUUGUAGUAUGUAGAGUUGUCCCCAGCUUCCAACAGCCAAACUCAUCUGCCUGCCUUUGUCCCAGCACAUCACACAAUUUUCCUCUGUAGGUUUAUCUUUGAAUCAGUCCUCACUAAUAAAGUUUAUGGAUCUGAGCUUCUAACUGACAAACUCACUGCUUCUUCUUUAGGUUGUAAUGACUAUGAAUUUCAAUAUUAUAGUGAUUGCAGAAGAUUCAGAGAACCCAACUGACAACACGACCUUUCUGAAACUCUUCAGCCAGAACCUGCAGAGCAACAAUGAAACAUGUUUCUUUUCUUUGUACAGUUUUGGGGCUGAUUGUUCUUUAAACACCAAACUGUCCAUAAAUGAUCUGAACUUUUCAUGCACUCAGUACAUGAUGUGUACACUGAAUCCAUAAAGUGUCGAUGGCUGGCUGAGGUCUGAAUAAAAUGUUUCAUCAUCAGA